CUCUGAAGCAAGAAUGACCCAAAAUACACGUUCCAGGAGCCCUUUCAUUUUGCAGCACCGCCCGCAGCACCUGCCCGGUGGUGUCCUCCAUCACUUCGCGAGUGAAUGAGGACCCACCUCAAGGGGGAAAAGAUCUACUUCAUCUGCCAGAGAAACAUGUCUGGAAUGGAACAAGCCUGCCAGUAGUCAGAGAGUAUAUCCAGGGAAUGGCCCCUGAGCAGCACAGCUCGUGGUCAAGCCUCCAGGAUUAACAGUCUUAUGAAACAAACAGCAUCUGGUAUUUAGUAGAGAGCAGCAUCAUUGUGUUAUGACGGCUACCGACAACUUCCCCCUCCUUACACCUGGCUCCGGGCGGGGCUGCGGGGCUGUGGGUCACAGGCCAUCUCUGAUGCAGCCCAGGGGAAUUGCAAAUGCCUACAUGUCCCGGUUUGGGUGAGUCUUGGCCCUAUGGGGAGCCCUGGGGUCCCUCCUGAGCUUCUCACCUUGAAGGCUCUCCAGUAGGAACUGAGAACAUGUGUCAGCCUCUCAAGGGCUCAGUGUUGGUGGCUGGUUUUAUACCCCCUCCCUCUGCCUCCCUCCCACCCGAUCAUGAGAUGCCAGGGCAGCUGUGUUUUGCAAUGCAGAGCCCAGGAUGUGGAAGCCAAGGAAACCACAACAGAAGUGUGAGCAAUUAAGAAAAAGGGAACUCUAUUGAGAAAUGAUUUCAUCUGAAUUGGUGAGAAUGAGGACGCGGCAGCAGCCCAGCACUGAGUCACAGGAGUGGAAAAAUCCAGUAGGAGGUUGUGGGGGAAGAUGGAGAGAAAAUGCCAGUGACACUUUCAGCAGAAUGACUGAAAGAGGGAAGUGAGGGCGUCCUUGAGCCCCACUGCUUCUGUGCUGGUCUCAUGCUUGGAGCACCAACCCCAGGAAGACUGGUCCCUAUGGGCCAUGGGUCACGGGGGACCCUGAGGCUCCUGAUGAAGGGUCAGCCUCCUUUUCCCUCGCGUGGGUGUCCUCCUCCAUGGCCGCUACAGCGCAGGCAGAGUGAAGAGUCCUGGGCUGGGAAUCCCCUACUUCCCUCUGUCACUCUUCCCUCUUCCCCAUGACAAAGCAUGACAAGGGCAAGAUUUGCAAGGGCAAAGGGGUGGCCCUCCACAGUCCUGUUUCAGCUCCCCCCAGAGCAGAAUGAAAGCCUCCAUCCUAUUCCUGACCAGAAACGGUGGCUGGAGGCUGCUUCCUGUGUUUUGGGUGGCAAUUAGUAAGCUGGCACUGCGGGGACCAGAGCACCUCCCAGCCUGCCCUUCCUGUGGGCUCCUGCCACCCAUCUUCUGCCCCAGCUGAGCUCCCCAAGGCCUGGUACUCCCAUCUAAAAAUGGCAGCCCUUCCCCACAGUCCUCGCUACAAUGCCUGGGAACUGCUGGGGCCAGGCCAGCAGAUGACUGAGGAGCUCAGGACACAGCAGGCCCUGAGCAGGGCCGGGCAGGACACACGGCUCCCACUGAACCGGGCCUUCAUGCCAGAACACGCCAGAAGCACAGCCUCCUAACUUCGCCCCACCUGUGGCUUGUUGGGGACACACACGUCAUGCCCUGAAGCGUUCCGGAACCGGUAGGGGCUGCCUGUCCUGCCACUCACCCACUCCAGCUAGGAACUCCUCAGUGGGCAAGAUAAUUGGGCCCAGGUUGAGUUAUGACGUUCACAGGUGAUUUUGAUGGACGCUGACUUUCAGAGCUCAUUGCCCUAAAGACUCCUGGCCUAAGAGUGAGGAAGUCUGAGGAAUCUGGUUUCAGCUCCACUGAUAUCUAACCGCACGUACACCAGGUCCUGCAGAUGACAACCUCUGGUGGAACGGAGUGAUGCUG
rnacentral:lncRNA from 1 species